rnacentral:rRNA from 1 species
CAGUCGCCGCGGGAAUACAGAGGGUGCAAACGUUGUUCGGAAUUACUGGGCGUAAAGCGAGUGUAGGCGGUUCGGUAAGUCGGAUGUGAAAGCCCCGGGCUCAACCCGGGAAGUGCACUCGAUACUACCAAGCUAGAGUACUGGAGAGGUUGGUGGAAUUCUCGGUGUAGAGGUGAAAUUCGUAGAUAUCGAGAGGAACACCGGUGGCGAAGGCGGCCAACUGGACAGAUACUGACGCUGAGACUCGAAAGCGUGGGGAGCAAACAGGAUUAGAUACCCGCGUAGUCCCUGUCUCUUAUAC